UUAAGCGACUAAGCGUACACGGUGGAUGCCCUGGCAGUCAGAGGCGAUGAAGGACGUGCUAAUCUGCGAAAAGCGCCGGCGAGGUGAUAUGAACCUUUGACCCGGCGAUGUCCGAAUGGGGAAACCCAGUGCAAUCCGUUGCACUAUCGUUAACUGAAUACAUAGGUUAACGAGGCGAACCGGGGGAACUGAAACAUCUAAGUACCCCGAGGAAAAGAAAUCAACCGAGAUUCCCCCAGUAGCGGCGAGCGAACGGGGAGCAGCCCGGAGUCUGAAUCAGCUUGUGUGUUAGUGGAACGGUCUGGAAAGUCCGACGGUACAGGGUGAUAGUCCCGUACACGAAAGCACACAUGCUGUGAACUCGAAGAGUAGGGCGGGACACGUGGUAUCCUGUCUGAAUAUGGGGGGACCAUCCUCCAAGGCUAAAUACUCCUGACUGACCGAUAGUGAACCAGUACCGUGAGGGAAAGGCGAAAAGAACCCCGGCGAGGGGAGUGAAAAAGAACCUGAAACCGUGUACGUACAAGCAGUGGGAGCCUCUUUAUGGGGUGACUGCGUACCUUUUGUAUAAUGGGUCAGCGACUUAUAUUCUGUAGCAAGGUUAACCGUAUAGGGGAGCCGAAGGGAAACCGAGUCUUAACUGGGCGUUAAGUUGCAGGGUAUAGACCCGAAACCCGGUGAUCUAGCCAUGGGCAGGUUGAAGGUUGGGUAACACUAACUGGAGGACCGAACCGACUAAUGUUGAAAAAUUAGCGGAUGACCUGUGGCUGGGGGUGAAAGGCCAAUCAAACCGGGAGAUAGCUGGUUCUCCCCGAAAGCUAUUUAGGUAGCGCCUCGUGAACUCAUCUUCGGGGGUAGAGCACUGUUUCGGCUAGGGGGCCAUCCCGGCUUACCAACCCGAUGCAAACUACGAAUACCGAAGAAUGUUAUCACGGGAGACACACGGCGGGUGCUAACGUCCGUCGUGAAGAGGGAAACAACCCAGACCGCCAGCUAAGGUCCCAAAGUCAUGGUUAAGUGGGAAACGAUGUGGGAAGGCACAGACAGCCAGGAUGUUGGCUUAGAAGCAGCCAUCAUUUAAAGAAAGCGUAAUAGCUCACUGGUCGAGUCGGCCUGCGCGGAAGAUGUAACGGGGCUAAACCAUGCACCGAAGCUGCGGCAGCGACACUAUGUGUUGUUGGGUAGGGGAGCGUUCUGUAAGCCGUUGAAGGUGUCCUGUGAGGGGUGCUGGAGGUAUCAGAAGUGCGAAUGCUGACAUAAGUAACGAUAAAGCGGGUGAAAAGCCCGCUCGCCGGAAGACCAAGGGUUCCUGUCCAACGUUAAUCGGGGCAGGGUGAGUCGACCCCUAAGGCGAGGCCGAAAGGCGUAGUCGAUGGGAAACAGGUUAAUAUUCCUGUACUUGGUGUUACUGCGAAGGGGGGACGGAGAAGGCUAUGUCAGCCGGGCGACGGUUGUCCCGGUUUAAGCAUGUAGGCGGAGGUUCCAGGUAAAUCCGGUACCUUGUUAACGCUGAGGUGUGAUGACGAGGCACUACGGUGCUGAAGUGAUAAAUGCCCUGCUUCCAGGAAAAGCCUCUAAGCAUCAGGUAACACGAAAUCGUACCCCAAACCGACACAGGUGGUCAGGUAGAGAAUACCAAGGCGCUUGAGAGAACUCGGGUGAAGGAACUAGGCAAAAUGGUGCCGUAACUUCGGGAGAAGGCACGCUGAUGUGUAGGUGAAGUCCCUGCGGACGGAGCUGAAAUCAGUCGAAGAUACCAGCUGGCUGCAACUGUUUAUUAAAAACACAGCACUGUGCAAACACGAAAGUGGACGUAUACGGUGUGACGCCUGCCCGGUGCCGGAAGGUUAAUUGAUGGGGUUAGCGGCAACGCGAAGCUCUUGAUCGAAGCCCCGGUAAACGGCGGCCGUAACUAUAACGGUCCUAAGGUAGCGAAAUUCCUUGUCGGGUAAGUUCCGACCUGCACGAAUGGCGUAAUGAUGGCCAGGCUGUCUCCACCCGAGACUCAGUGAAAUUGAACUCGCUGUGAAGAUGCAGUGUACCCGCGGCAAGACGGAAAGACCCCGUGAACCUUUACUAUAGCUUGACACUGAACACUGGUCCUUGAUGUGUAGGAUAGGUGGGAGGCUUUGAAGCGUGGACGCCAGUCUGCGUGGAGCCAACCUUGAAAUACCACCCUUUAAUGGCUGGUGUUCUAACGUAGACCCGUAAUCCGGGUUGCGGACAGUGUCUGGUGGGUAGUUUGACUGGGGCGGUCUCCUCCCAAAGAGUAACGGAGGAGCACGAAGGUUGGCUAAUCCUGGUCGGACAUCAGGAGGUUAGUGCAAUGGCAUAAGCCAGCUUGACUGCGAGCGUGACGGCGCGAGCAGGUGCGAAAGCAGGUCAUAGUGAUCCGGUGGUUCUGAAUGGAAGGGCCAUCGCUCAACGGAUAAAAGGUACUCCGGGGAUAACAGGCUGAUACCGCCCAAGAGUUCAUAUCGACGGCGGUGUUUGGCACCUCGAUGUCGGCUCAUCACAUCCUGGGGCUGAAGUAGGUCCCAAGGGUAUGGCUGUUCGCCAUUUAAAGUGGUACGCGAGCUGGGUUUAGAACGUCGUGAGACAGUUCGGUCCCUAUCUGCCGUGGGCGCUGGAGAAUUGAGGGGGGCUGCUCCUAGUACGAGAGGACCGGAGUGGACGCAUCACUGGUGUUCGGGUUGUCAUGCCAAUGGCACUGCCCGGUAGCUAAAUGCGGAAGAGAUAAGUGCUGAAAGCAUCUAAGCACGAAACUUGCCCCGAGAUGAGUUCUCCCUGAGACCUUGAGUCUCCUGAAGGAACGUUGAAGACGACGACGUUGAUAGGUCGGGUGUGUAAGCGCAGCGAUGCGUUGAGCUAACCGAUACUAAUGAACCGUGAGGCUUAACCUU
rnacentral:rRNA from 2 species